UAGAUUCUUACUCCAUUUUAUACAACCUUAAAUGUUGGAAAUUCUUUGCUCUGACAUGCAUUGCAUGUUUUCCUUGUUGCUGAAGUAAACGUUUGAAUUUAUAUACCUGACACCUCAUUUUCUAUCUAUAUGUGCACACUUUUAAUUAACUGGUAAUACAGUAAUACUAUGAGGUCUGUAGUACUUUAAAAUGAAAGGUGCAAAGUUUUGUUAAACACGGAAAGCGUCGCUGUUCACCAGUGAAAAGCAUUAGUUUGUGAUGUAAUAGUCUCCAUGGCAGCUGCGUCACAGGGACGAGAGGGGAGCAUUGUGAUAUGGACAGCUCUAUGGUGCUGAAACUACCACGUUUGAACGGAUCAUUUGAAGCACAACCUGGCACUUAUUAGAAACAGUCGUUGUGUUGUCUGAUUCAAUAUUUUCACUGUGCAAUUGUAUGUUUUGGAAUUGCUUCACACUGGGAGUAAAGCAAACUAUUUAUAACAAUGGAUUCGAGUAUUAAUGGACAGUCCUGGAGAAGGUACGUCUCGGCCUUUAUUCUUCUCUCUGCAGCCAUGAAUACGGCGUCUGCUGUUACUCACUAUUCUAUUCCCGAGGAAAUGGAGGAAGGAUCCGUUGUUGCUAAUUUAGCUGCUGAUUUGGGACUAGAUAUGAAAACCUUGAGCAAACGCAAGAUGCGGUUAGAUGUCAUCGCCGGUAAGAAAUAUCUUGACGUGAACAAAGAGACGGGGGAGCUGUAUAUUGUUGAAAAUAUGGACAGGGAACACCUCUGUAGUUCUAAAACAGCUACAACUUGUUUUCUAAAAAUGGAGGUAAUCAUUGAAAAUCCAGUUCGGAUAUUUAACAUAGAAUUGGAAAUCGUUGAUAUAAAUGACAACGCGCCACGUUUUCGUAGAGAUAUCAUAAACCUAGAUAUUUCUGAAUCGACCCCGGCCGGGGAGCGUUUUUCUCUAAGCAAUGCAAUUGACCCCGAUGUGGGCACGAAUUCUGUAAAAACCUACCACAUCAGUGAAAGUGAUCAUUUUGAUAUUGAAAUUCAGACCGGGAGGGAUGGAUCGAAGUUUGCCGAUUUGAUACUGAAAAAGGCUUUAAACCGAGAGGAGCACGCCGUUCAUAACCUAAUACUCACCGCUGUAGAUGGUGGAGUCCCCGCGCGCUCUGGUACAGCCAACAUAAUUGUUCGUGUCCUGGACACAAAUGAUAAUGCCCCUCAGUUUGACAAAGAUUCAUAUAAUAUAAAAAUAAUGGAAAACUCUCCAAUCGGAAGCCUUGUGGUUAAAUUGAAUGCAACAGACUUAGAUGAGGGAACCAAUUCGGUAAUAGUAUAUUCAUAUAGUUUGUAUACAUCAGAGAAAACACAUGAAACGUUCAGUUUAAACCCUGAUAACGGAGAAAUAACGGUGAAAGAAAUGAUCAAUUAUGAAGACUUCAGGAUCUAUGAUAUGGAAGUCAUAGCAACUGAUAAUGGGACCAACUCUUUAUCAGGUCAGUGUAAAAUAACUAUUCUAGUGACGGAUAUGAAUGACAAUCAUCCUGAAAUAUCAAUCAAAUCAUAUCAAAGUCCCAUAAAGGAGGAUAUAGCGGUAGACACGGUGAUAGCAGUUGUCAGUGUCAGCGAUAAAGAUUCAGGUGAAAAUGGGAUUGUCGAUAUCCAUAUUGCGGAUGAAUUACCUUUUUCACUAAGAGAGAAUUCCGAUAACUAUUAUGAGUUAGUAGUAUCAGAACCUCUCGACCGUGAGAAGAUCCCAGAAUAUGACAUAACUUUUACCGUAACAGACAGGGGUUCCCCUCCGCUAUCUGACAAUGAAACGAUGACUUUAGAACUACUAGACGUUAACGACAACGUUCCACAGUUCCCCCAGUCGUUCUACACUAUGCCCGUUAUGGAGAAUAACGCGCCUGGGGCCUUGCUAAGUUCCCUCACUGCGUUUGAUCCAGACCUCCAUGAAAACCAGUAUCUAGUUUAUUUCAUCAUAGAGAAGGAGAUAGUGAACACCUCCAUUUCCAUGCUGUUUUCCAUCAAUCCGGAGAACGGUAAUCUUUACGCACUAAAGACGUUUGACUAUGAGAUAGAGAAAGAAUUCCUUUUCCACAUUGAGGCCAGAGACUCUGGUGUUCCUCCGCUCAGCAGUAAUGUGACUGUCCACAUCAUUAUUGUUGAUCAGAACGACAACACCCCGGUCAUAGUCUCUCCGUGGCGCGUGCACGGCUCCGUGGUGGAGGAAAAGAUUCCCAGAUCCACCGAUAAAGGAUCCCUGGUCUCCAAGGUGAUAGCCAUAGACACGGACUCGGUCCAGAACUCUCGGAUUACAUACCAGUUUCUACAGGUUACUGACGCCACCUUAUUCAGUCUGGACCAAUACAAUGGAGAUAUCCGGACCAUGAGAAUGUUCAGUUACAGAGAUCCGCGUCAUCAACGGCUGGUUGUCAUCGCCAAGGACAACGGAGAACCUGCUCUGUCUGCUACAGUUACCAUCAAGCUGUCAACAGUGGAGACUGCCGUUAAAGCCUACUCUGACAUGACUGAAGUCCCUCUAGAAUAUGACAUAUUUUCAGACUUAAACCUGUAUUUGGUGAUCGGCUUGGGCUCGGUGUCCUUUCUGUUAUUGAUCACCAUAUUGGUCACCUGUGUGCUGAAGUGUCAGAAACCGAUGCCCAGCAAAGCGGCUCCUCCUAGUAGGAACAGCGUGAUCAGCGAGAGGAACUCGACCAUCGCAGAUUCCACUCUGGUCUCCAACGAUGCCUACUGGUACAGUAUGUUUCUAGCAGAGACCAGGAAAGGAAAGCUGGUAGUCAGACAGCCUGUGCCAAAGGCGGGCUCCAGAUACAUUGUGUCCAGUUUACCAAGGAGCACGGGCCUGACAGAGACCAGCGACUCAGCAGCCUCUACUCUGCAGGUAAGAAGGACCUCCACCUCUGAAUGACCUCCACAGCAAAGCACAAUGCAACAACGAUAUGACUGAGUCACUGCAAUUUUAGAAAAAGGGUUCCAAAAGGGUUCUUCAGAUAUUCCCAUAGGAGAACCCUUUUUGGAUCCAGGUAGAACCCUUUUGGUUUUCAUGUAGAACCCUCUUUGGAAAGGGUUCUACAUGGUACCGAAAAUGAUUCUACCUGGAACCCAAAUGGUUUUACCUGGAACCAAAUCUAGUUCUUCAAAGGAUUCUCCUAUGGGGAAUGCCAAAUAACCCUUUUAGGUUCUCCAGUGCCACCUGAAAGUAUUCAGACCCCUUGACUUUUUCCACAUUUAGUUACGUAACAGCUUUGUUGUAAAAUAUAUAUUUUUAAUUUCCUCAUUAAUCUACACACAAUACGCCAUAAUUAUCACGGCUCAGGCUAAGACCCAGAUGGAGACACAGGAGGUGGAGAGUAUGAGUCUCAGAGUUUAUUAGUUCAAGGAGCAGGCAGUCGGUAGGUCGUAAUCCAAAUCAGAGUCAGGCAGGUACCGGACGGCAGGCAGGAUCAGGGUCAGGACAGGCAGAAAGGUCAGAACUGGGAAGACUAGGAAAAACAAAAAGUAGAGCAUAGGAACCACAGGAACAUGCUGGUAAGACUUGACGGGACAAGAAGAACUGGCAACGGACAAACAGAAAACGCAUGUAUAAAUACACAUGAGGUAAUGGGAGACCCCUGGUGGGGGUUGGAGCCAAUAACAAGACAGGUGAAACAGAUCAGGGUGUGACAGUCUCCCCCCCACCCCACCCAGGAGCACCAACUGAUGUCCUACCCGGUGACACACCUGGUUGACCGCGUUGUCGACGCCGGAAGUCCGAGAUGAGGGCUGGGUCUAGGAUACUCCUGGUGGGGACCCAACAUCUCUCCUCCGGGCCAGUCAACCAGGUACUGGAAUCCCCUGCCCUGCGGUCGAACACUCAGGAGUCGCCAAACUGUGUAUGCCAUAUGGCCAUCAAUGAGACGGGGGAGAGGGGUGGGCCUGGAAACAGGAGACAAAGGGCUGUGAGACAGGGGUUUCAUUCUAGAUACAUGGAAAGUUGGAUGUAUACGGAGGGUGCGGGGCAACAGAAGGAUCUUAGAGAUGGGGAAAAGGUCAAUAAAAUGGGGGGAAAGUUUGCGGAACUCCACCCGGAGGCGCAGAUCCCGAGUGGAAAGUUAUACCCUUUUCCCAAGACGGUAGCGGGAAGCAGGGAUCUGUUGGCGGUCCGCCUGUCAUCGAUACCUGGAGGUGGUCUUGAGAAGAGCGGCCUGGGCUCUCUUCCAGAUACAGCAACGGACAAACAUCUGGGCAGAAGGUAUGUCUGUCUUCAUUUUCUUGCUCUGGGAAGGGCGGGGCUGAUAUCCCAGGGAACUCUUAAAAGUCGAGAGACCAGUAUCAGAACAGGGAAGGGUGCUGCAGGCACAAUCCACCUACACGAAUUGCUGGCUACAGGUGGGAUUGGUGGAGACGAGGCAACAAAGAGUCGUCUCCAGGUCAUGAUUGUCUCGCUUCCGACUGGUCGUUAAAAUGGGGAUGGAUGAAAACCAGAAGACAGGCUGGCCGACUACCCAAUGAGGGUGCAGAACGCCUUCCAGAACCGGGAUAAGAACUCCGUGAUUGGAGACAAUGUCGUCCGGAAAUUCAUGGAUCCAUAAGAAGUGCUGCACCAUGAGCUGGGCCAUCUCCUUAGCUGAGGGCAACUUAGCGUGGCUUUGGAAAACCUAUCCACCACCGUAAGGAUGGUAAGGAUGGUGGUGUUGCCAUCUGACGGAGGGAGAAUUGUGAUGAAGUCCAAGGAUAUAUGGGACCAGUGGCGGUGAGGGAUAGGGAGUGUUUGAAGGAGGCCAGCCGGAGUUUUCCCCUGGAGUCUUGUUCUGCGCACACACACAGUGGCAGUGAGGGACAGGGAGUGUUUGAAGGAGGCCAGCCGGAGUUUUCCCCUGGAGUCUUGUUCUGCGCACACACACAGUGGCGGUGAGGGACAGGGAGUGGUUGAAGGAGGCCAGCCGGAGUUUUCCCCUGGAGUCUUGUUCUGCGCACACACACAGUGGCGGUGAGGGACAGGGAGUGUUUGAAGGAGGCCAGACGGAGUUUUCCCCUGGAGUCUUGUUCUGCGCACACACACAGUGGCGGUGAGGGACAGGGAGUGGUUGAAGGAGGCCAGCUGGAGUUUUCCCCUGGAGUCUUGUUCUGCGCACACACACAGUGGCGGUGAGGGACAGGGAGUGGUUGAAGGAGGCCAGCCGGAGUUUUCCCCUGGAGUCUUGUUCUGCGCACACACACAGUGGCGGUGAGGGACAGGGAGUGGUUGAAGGAGGCCAGCCGGAGUUUUCCCCUGGAGUCUUGUUCUGCGCACACACAGUGCGGGCGGCAACUCAUUUCCUUUUCCCUAUCUCGCCUGCCUGGAGUUGAGGUGGUUCCUCUCAGCGGGGUUAAGACAAUGGGAAAGGAAGGCGCCGGGAUGCAGCUUCUGGUACUGGGCAGAACGCUGGGAUAGGACAGCCCCCACUCUGACGUCCAAGGUGUCGACCCCCACCACGAACUGACGGGAUGGAUGAAGAUGGACGCUGUAGUGAAUCGCUGCUUGAGGUCUCAGAACGUCCGGUCAGCUGCUGCAGACCAUAUGAACAGAAGUUUCUGUCACAUUUUUUUCUAAGAGUGUGUGCCCUAAAACAGAAGUUCCCAAACUCUGUUACUCGGGGCCCCAACAUUGGGAAAUAUCCUGCAUCCCCCCUCAUGACACAAACUGUUCUCACCCCUCUUGUUGCCAAAAAUAAUUUAGCAGCUUUAAAGCUUAUUUCCUGCAAUUCUAUACAUUUUAUCAUUGGGUUACAACAAUAUCUAUAUUUUUGGGGCAUACAAUAUAUCUCAAUAUUUGUAUUAUUUAUUUUACACAGUCUUUUUUGCUCAUCUUUAUCAAGGAUGCUGUUAAUUAUGGACAUGACUGUAUUGGCAACGCAUACGUCUCCAGUUCCACAACAAGUAAAGUAGCGUGAACCCAGUGAAGUUGUUGGGAAGUUACAGUAAUGAGAGAGCAACACCAAAUGCUCAUUAGAACCACACUACUGUGUAAGAACAACAAGUAAAUCCAAGAUGGCAUCGUGAAUAGCACAAAUAUAAUACUUUGGGCAAAAGUUCUGUUUAUUUCUGAGAAGAAGCAAUGAUGAUUUUAUCAAAUACUGUUCAGUAACAGCAACUUGGAAAAUUACUGAAACUUAAAAUGUGUAAGAUCAAAUUUGAUCAUGUUUUUGGCAUCAUAUAACCUUUUCACACAAACUUGUCGCAUACUGUUUACCCAGUUAUACCAUAUACAAAGUGUCAGCUGUUGAGAGGGCAGGUGUUACAUUUCCACCUUCCACCACAUUACCAGUCUAAAAACAGGUCCCCCUCUGCCAGGUAAUCAGGCCUAGUUCCUUUAUCUAUGAAAUUCAUUCAUCUGUUAUGAAUGUAUAUUUUCUCCCUCUAGCACCUCAACAAACAGCUGCAGCACCUGCUGGGAAAAAGGCCUCUAAUUUGGUUGAAUGGCGUGUGGCUUACGUUUCACCGCACUGACUGUGCCUGCAUACUGCAUCCUUGUAGAGCUAACACACCGUGAUGGAGAUUACACAGCGCCAGCAGCAAUGUAGUUUAUAUAUGGUACAGCCUACAAGGCAAUGAGACAGAAACCCCUUGAGCUUUCAAAACAAACAAGGUUACGGUUUCACAUUAGACUUCCUGUCCUUUAUGAGUCUAGAUGGACCAAAUGGAUUCCUCUCAUUAUUGACAUCACACGAUCUAUUCUAAUUCGGUAUUUGUUUAUAGACUUUCAUUUCAUCAAAUAUCUCCACCCCCUGAUUUAAAAUGCAUCAGAAUAACCCCCUCCCCCCCCUCUCUCUCUCAGUGAGCCCAGUCAAGCUGAACGCCUCAAUGAGGCCACUCCCUCCUCCAUGCUGCAGAGGUUGUCUCUCCUCCUCUUACGUCACUCAGUAGGGAAGAGAGAACAGGAGGAGGUCUGCAGCAAGAGAGGGGUCAGGGUUGUAGUGAACUUGUUUUGCUGUGCACCACUCUCUCUAUACCUAAUAAUGUGCACUGUCAUUUCUCAAAAUCCAGCCUUAGCCUAUCCAUAGUCUAUCUACAUGUUCUGCAAUAUCUGUUCUCAUGUUAUUAUACAUUUAUGCACUCGUUCCAAUGUAUGACAAAUGUUUUACUUGAUCAAGGCUGGUUCUUGUAAAAAGGUAAGUAUUUGCAGAAUACGUUUCUGUGUGUGCGCUUGUGUGUGAGGGAGACUGUGUGUGUGUGUGAAUGGAUUGCUGAAACGGUUGUUUUCCUAACCAACUCAUGUUACCCUUUUCAGGUUGCCAUGACAUUUUUCCUUCUACCCUGUUUUGUCUGUUUUGAGCUGUAGGCUAUAUAUUUUUGAAAUAUUGACUUUCCCCAAGAUUUAUCAGAUAACCGCUUCAGUAGAAAUGGAGUGAUUAAUAUGACAAAAUGAGAGUAUAGCCAUAGGCCAUAACCAUGCAUACAGAAAGAUUCCUUGUGUUCUGCAAUGUCUUGACCAUUGAAAUGCUUCUUUCUUUUCUCCCUGUUCUUAAGUACCCUAAAUGAGGGAAGUCCACUGUGCAGCUGGAGGGGUCCACCACCACUGGCAGCGGCAGCAGUUCCUCAUAAGGCCCCAUCCCCAUUGGUCCACCAGAUUUACAUCAGAAGGAACCCCGCGUCCACUGAUGAAAGGAACCCCCGUCCUUACCCUACUCAGCCCCCUCCCCUAAGCGACCAGGCCCCUAGUGACACUUCACCUACACCCCCUUUGCCAAACAAUGACUGUCAUCCCAAGGACCUAAAGGACACUCUGAUGGCCCCCUGCCCCCCUAUCCCCCAGCCAUGUUCUCUCUAUAAGCACACACUAGCCCCAAUCAACUUCAACGUCCAUUCAACACACAUGGUUCUGCAUGGCUAUGGCCCAUCACUGAGGGCCCCACACGUUUCAACUAACCACAGUGAAGAGAACAUACACUAGAGAGACAGAAU